AAUAAAAUAAAAUAGGAGAGGCUGUUGCAGCGCCAAAAGGAGCCGCUGCGAAUGGCUGAAGUUGAUCGCCAUGUUUCUCAUCAUACCAUCAACAUCAUCUUCAAGAUGAGUGAUAUUGCAUUCUAAUAUUGCUGAGAGAGAAGAAAGAGAUGGCAUCGGUGGGUGGAUCAAUCGUAAUGGCAACGGUCAGGUCCUUCAAAACUGGCUCCAAAACCCUAAUUCCCAAAACCUAGCUCCAAAAUCCGUGUCUUCCUCUCCAUUCUCUUUUUCCACAAGACCAUACCUUGUGCUGCUUCAAGGAUUAUUUCGGUCUUGGGAAGCGUUGAGUCGAUGAUGCCACUUCACAGCGCCAUCUAGUCGUCUGAAAUCAAGUAUGGCCUUUGAUUCCUCCUGCUGGAGUUGGCUUUCUCAAGGACUUGCAGUACCAUUGUGACAAGGUUCGCUGGAUAUUAGAGAUUUAGAGGGUGAUUAAUGAACUUUGAUUUUUCUUUUUCAAUUUUUUUUUUUUUU